CGUCAUCAGAAAUUGCAGUCAUGGAGAGCGUAAGAAGCGAAAGCCCAGUUGACAACGUUUCUGGCACCGAAUGCAAAGACAAAGAUGGCAGAAUCUGUACAUGUUGCAAUACGUCCUGCUGCCCAGAAAGACGACAACACAAGACGUCAUUCAACAUGUGGUAUUUCUGGUAAGAUACACCAUUUUUGUCUUCCCGGAAGCCUUCAGCAGUAAAGUUUUUUUUUUAUCCUCUUUGUUUUUUUUUACUUUCUUUCAAUAUUGUCGUUGAUGUGGCUGUUACUAUUGUUUGAUGAUGUUGAUAACGAUGCUGAUGAUGAUGACAAUGAUGAUGACGAUGAUGAUGAUGAUGAUGAUGAUGAUGAUGAUGAUGAU